CGGGGGGCAGGGGGGCGAGUUUCAUCAUCAUCAGCUUUCUAACGUACACUUUGUGCCAAAAAACAUCUCGGCGUUGUGCAGCUUGAUCACAGCUAGAGCAAACUUUGUGCACGGGAGGAAGGCACCGGUUUCAAGCGUACUCCCCGAGCACUGAGAAAACCCCAGUCGUCGAGGACUUGCUUGGCCGAACAACAGGAUCCAAUAUUUGGGAGUAUGCUUGAGAAAACAGAGCUUCAGGAAAAGCUGAGAAUGACCUCUCUUUGGCUGACUCACUCUGACUUUAAAGUAAUAUGUCUUUACAGAACAUGGUGAAAGAAGAGAGUCAAGUUGGCAAUUAGGUGUUCUCUUAACUGCCUACUUUGAUUGAUUGUGAUGGGCCACCUGGAACAUGGUGUUAAGAAGCAUUUUCGGCCCAAUUCCAGGCUCAGUGGAAAAGAGGAAAAUCCUUACUUUUUGCUACAGUGACUUGGGUCCUAUUGUUCCAGAUCCAGCAUUUUAAUCCUGGCACUUGAUGGCAAU
rnacentral:lncRNA from 1 species